AAGACACUAGUUAGCUGACCAUAACACUGCUUUGUCAAGGCAGAAUCGCGGGUUAAAGCCCCGCGUGUCUUA
rnacentral:tRNA from 1 species